rnacentral:rRNA from 1 species
GACGAACGCUGGCGGCGUGCUUAACACAUGCAAGUCGAGCGGUAAGGCCCUUUCGGGGGUACACGAGCGGCGAACGGGUGAGUAACACGUGGGUGACCUGCCCUCAGCUCUGGGAUAAGCCUGGGAAACCGGGUCUAAUACCGGAUAUGACUCCAUGACGCAUGUUGUGGGGUGGAAAGCCUUGUGCGGCUGAGGAUGGGCCCGCGGCCUAUCAGCUUGUUGGUGGGGUGAUGGCCUACCAAGGCGACGACGGGUAGCCGGCCUGAGAGGGCGACCGGCCACACUGGGACUGAGACACGGCCCAGACUCCUACGGGAGGCAGCAGUGGGGAAUCUUGCGCAAUGGGCGAAAGCCUGACGCAGCGACGCCGCGUGAGGGAUGACGGCCUGGUGUAACGUACUUCUA